UCACCCUUCAAGCCCUCGGGCUUGGUGUUGGACGGUUUGGUGAGACCUGCAGUGUCCCACCCCUCCUAAAGACAAUGACGGCGGCCUCGUUGGACCCCCGGUACGCUGAGCUUCUUAACUGGGCAUGUACUGGAUGCGGGUGUGCGGGGCACGGUCUGCCUCCCCUUAGGGAGAGUUCCUUUUCAA
rnacentral:misc_RNA from 1 species